GGUUAAGUGACUAAGCGUACACGGUGGAUGCCUAGGCAGUCAGAGGCGAUGAAGGGCGUGCUAAUCUGCGAAAAGCGUCGGUAAGGUGAUAUGAACCGUUACAACCGGCGAUACCCGAAUGGGGAAACCCAGUGUGUUUCGACACACUAUCAUGUCAUGAAUACAUAGUGGCAUGAGGCGAACCGGGGGAACUGAAACAUCUAAGUACCCCGAGGAAAAGAAAUCAACCGAGAUUCCCCCAGUAGCGGCGAGCGAACGGGGAGGAGCCCAGAACCUGAAUCGGCUUGUGUGUUAGUGGAAGCGUCUGGAAAGUCGCGCAGCAAAGGGUGAUAGCCCCGUACACUAAAAUGCACAGGUCGUGAGUUCGAUGAGUAGGGCGGGACACGUGACAUCCUGUCUGAAUAUGGGGGGACCAUCCUCCAAGGCUAAAUACUCCUGACUGACCGAUAGUGAACCAGUACCGUGAGGGAAAGGCGAAAAGAACCCCGGCGAGGGGAGUGAAAUAGAACCUGAAACCGUGUACGUACAAGCAGUGGGAGCACCUUCGUGGUGUGACUGCGUACCUUUUGUAUAAUGGGUCAGCGACUUAUAUUUUGUAGCAAGGUUAACCGUAUAGGGGAGCCGUAGGGAAACCGAGUCUUAACUGGGCGAAUAGUUGCAAGGUAUAGACCCGAAACCCGGUGAUCUAGCCAUGGGCAGGUUGAAGGUUGGGUAACACUAACUGGAGGACCGAACCGACUAAUGUUGAAAAAUUAGCGGAUGACUUGUGGCUGGGGGUGAAAGGCCAAUCAAACCGGGAGAUAGCUGGUUCUCCCCGAAAGCUAUUUAGGUAGCGCCUCGUGAACUCAUCUUCGGGGGUAGAGCACUGUUUCGGCUAGGGGGCCAUCCCGGCUUACCAAACCGAUGCAAACUCCGAAUACCGAAGAAUGUUAUCACGGGAGACACACGGCGGGUGCUAACGUCCGUCGUGAAGAGGGAAACAACCCAGACCGCCAGCUAAGGUCCCAAAGUCAUGGUUAAGUGGGAAACGAUGUGGGAAGGCAUAGACAGCCAGGAUGUUGGCUUAGAAGCAGCCAUCAUUUAAAGAAAGCGUAAUAGCUCACUGGUCGAGUCGGCCUGCGCGGAAGAUGUAACGGGGCUAAACCAUGCACCGAAGCUGCGGCAGCGACGCUUAGGCGUUGUUGGGUAGGGGAGCGUUCUGUAAGCCGUUGAAGGUGGCCUGUGAGGGUUGCUGGAGGUAUCAGAAGUGCGAAUGCUGACAUAAGUAACGAUAAAGCGGGUGAAAAGCCCGCUCGCCGGAAGACCAAGGGUUCCUGUCCAACGUUAAUCGGGGCAGGGUGAGUCGACCCCUAAGGCGAGGCUGAAAAGCGUAGUCGAUGGGAAACAGGUUAAUAUUCCUGUACUUGGUGUUACUGCGAAGGGGGGACGGAGAAGGCUAGGCUAGCCGGGCGACGGUUGUCCCGGUUUAAGCGUGUAGGGGGUGUGACCUGGUAAAUCCGGUUGCAUAUCAACCCUGAGGCGUGAUGACGAUGCACUACGGUGCAGAAGUAGUUGAUGCCCUGCUUCCAGGAAAAGCCUCUAAGCUCUAGGUAACAUUAAAUCGUACCCCAAACCGACACAGGUGGUCAGGUAGAGAAUACCAAGGCGCUUGAGAGAACUCGGGUGAAGGAACUAGGCAAAAUGGUGCCGUAACUUCGGGAGAAGGCACGCUGGCAUGUAGGUGAAGUCCCUUGCGGAUGGAGCUGAAGCCAGUCGAAGAUACCAGCUGGCUGCAACUGUUUAAUAAAAACACAGCACUGUGCAAACACGAAAGUGGACGUAUACGGUGUGACGCCUGCCCGGUGCUGGAAGGUUAAUUGAUGGGGUCAGCCGCAAGGCGAAGCUCUUGAUCGAAGCCCCAGUAAACGGCGGCCGUAACUAUAACGGUCCUAAGGUAGCGAAAUUCCUUGUCGGGUAAGUUCCGACCUGCACGAAUGGCGUAAUGAUGGCCAGGCUGUCUCCACCCGAGACUCAGUGAAAUUGAACUCGCUGUGAAGAUGCAGUGUACCCGCGGCAAGACGGAAAGACCCCGUGAACCUUUACUAUAGCUUGACACUGAACAUUGAGCCUUGAUGUGUAGGAUAGGUGGGAGGCUUUGAAGCGUGGACGCCAGUCUGCGUGGAGCCAUCCUUGAAAUACCACCCUUUAAUGUUUGAUGUUCUAACUCGGCCCCAUAAUCUGGGGUGAGGACAGUGUCUGGUGGGUAGUUUGACUGGGGCGGUCUCCUCCCAAAGAGUAACGGAGGAGCACGAAGGUUAGCUAAUCACGGUCGGACAUCGUGAGGUUAGUGCAAAGGCAUAAGCUAGCUUGACUGCGAGAGUGACGGCUCGAGCAGGUACGAAAGUAGGUCUUAGUGAUCCGGUGGUUCUGAAUGGAAGGGCCAUCGCUCAACGGAUAAAAGGUACUCCGGGGAUAACAGGCUGAUACCGCCCAAGAGUUCAUAUCGACGGCGGUGUUUGGCACCUCGAUGUCGGCUCAUCACAUCCUGGGGCUGAAGUAGGUCCCAAGGGUAUGGCUGUUCGCCAUUUAAAGUGGUACGCGAGCUGGGUUUAGAACGUCGUGAGACAGUUCGGUCCCUAUCUGCCGUGGGCGUUGGAAGAUUGAGAGGGGUUGCUCCUAGUACGAGAGGACCGGAGUGAACGCACCACUGGUGUUCGGGUUGUCAUGCCAAUGGCAUUGCCCGGUAGCUAAGUGCGGAAAAGAUAAGCGCUGAAAGCAUCUAAGCGCGAAACUUGCCUCAAGAUGAGUCUUCCCUGGGCCUUUAAGG
rnacentral:rRNA from 1 species